UAUGCUGGAGUUUUGGACUUAGACUAGGAAAAGACGGGAGCUGGACUAGAGGCAGAGAGUGGGAUGCAGGAAGCCAGUUCUUCUGUUUUUCCUCCUCCUCCUUCCUUCUUCUCUUCCCUGCUUCCUCUUUCCGCCUCCCCCUUCCUUGUUUUUGAGACACAAUCUCACGGUUGCUCAAGGCAGCCCCUACUGCCCCAUCUUCUCAGCUUGCCCAGUGCUGGGACUGCAGACAUGUGCCUUGGCAUCCAGUGAUAUUUUAGAUAUAAUUUGUUUAGGCUUAAUUUUUAUGCCCAUGGGAAGUAAUUUUUUUUUUUUGUAACCUUGAAUUCCAAGGUGGGACUGUGGCUCCCUCUUCCCUUGUCAGACCAAGGUGGUGCCAUACAUUUCCUGUCCACUCUGUCAAGGCUAUGGUGAGAGACAGCUGGUGGCUUCCUUGUUACUAUAAAGUUCCCGAACUCUUCAGAGUCUGACUGGUUGAAGUCUGUGUAUUUGGAGAGGCCGGCUGGAGCCCAACAGUACAGGAGGGCUUGACAGGGCUGUGACUGAGCCUAGGUAACGUGACCUGGCUCACCCUGUGAACACCUUGGAGAUGUCUGGCCUGCCUGCCCCUGGAGGAAAGCGUGCCCAUCUGACACCUUACUCGCUUGUCCCUGGCUCUCCUGGCACAUUCAUCUGCCCUUGCGGCUGCAUCUGCUCUCUGCAAUCUCCUUGCCGGGCCUGUCACCUGAUGCUCUCGUCUUUCUUGCCUGUACUGUUCCACCCAGUUCCUUCAGGUGCCUGAGGAAAGCAGAGAGCGAGCUUAUUAGCAAAGUGCUUGGUGAGGAUGGCCUCGUUCAGGUGACCUGACAAAUCCCACAUCCACACCAGUCACCAUCCUGGGAAACCAAGCACCAUCAAAGCACUGUGGGUGCAUUCAGACAUAUCCUUCAGGGGCAGACUCUGUCAUCUAUCUGAUAUCCAUAUUUCCACAGUGCUAGGGCUAGCAGCUGUGGCAUGACCAGUUUACUUCUGGAAACGGAAACAUUUCCCAGACUCCCUUGCAGCUAGAUGUGCCCAUGCAAUAAAGUACUGGCUAACAGAAU
rnacentral:lncRNA from 1 species